CCCAGCACCAUCAGCUCAGCACGGGACAGCAGCAGUGCCUGGGGCUCCAGCAGCAGCGACGCCUCUGGACGCUGCUGCUUUGUUCCAGGGACCCCACGGAGUCAGCGGCGGAGGAAUGGCUGGAGAUGACCACAGAGGAAGCUGCUCUCAAGGUCAUCGGAGAGCAGCUCCAGGGCAGAGACAAGGAUGAGGGGCAGCAGCUCAGGUUCCUGCGGGCCAUCUACCCCGCGUGUCUUGCUGCACAGGACAGAGGGCAGGACACGCUGGAGCCGCACUGCUGCAAGGCGGCUGUGGUGGAGAGGAUUGUGGUGAGU